CACACACACACACAGCACAGAUUUUUUUGAUUAUGUAGAUUUCUUUUCCUACUGCAGUUUCAUAUGCAAAGCAUGCAUCAGCCACAUCCAUGCUAUCUCCUAAAGCAGUCAUUCUGAAACCCAAUCUGGGGACAGUGCAGACUAAAUAAAAUUUCAUUUUGAUUUGGCCUCCCGCUGCGAAUGGGACUGCUUUGUCUCAGCCGACAGAACCAGCAAGCCAGAAAGGGAAUGAAGACAUUUGGAGAAGAAGCGUUUACUGAAAGGAGAUUCCUGGGCUGGAGGAAAACCAUGAUCUACAGUUCAUGUUGACAGAUAUUGUAUUUUUGGUCCUAGAUCUGACUUUUGAAAUGACUUAUCACAAAUUCAAAUUUAGCAAUCAUGAGUGAAGUACCCACGAUGUGCUAAGCAUCUACCUCUGCAGAUAGAAGAACACUUACUGUUCCUGAGCAUGGGAGGGAAUAGAAGUUCCUGGGUCCUGGCCUCACCUCAUCAGGCACUGCCAAAUUUGACACCUCCUUCCUGUUCACGGCAGUCCUUUGCGAUAGGGUAUUAGAUGCCACCAAGUAGCUGCAUAACUCACCCAUUUGGUCAGAGCCUGGGUCUAAGCCAGGUCUGACAGACUCCAAAGCAAGCCCUGUUUACAGCAUGACUGGGAUCCAGUGGGUAAGACCAACCUGUCAAUGCCCAAGUGCAGAUGCAAUAAUAGUGCUUCAACUGAUUGUUGCAAACCCCUCAUGAGGGAUGCCAAAUCCCAGUGCAGAUGGUAACACAGGCUAUUUUUC
rnacentral:lncRNA from 1 species